rnacentral:rRNA from 1 species
UUAGUACGGCGAGUGAGCGGUAAAAGCUCAAAUUUGAAAUCUGGUACUUUCAGUGCCCGAGUUGUAAUUUGUAGAAUUUGUCUUUGAUUAGGUCCUUGUCUAUGUUCCUUGGAACAGGACGUCAUAGAGGGUGAGAAUCCCGUUUGGCGAGGAUACCUUUUCUCUGUAAGACUUUUUCGAAGAGUCGAGUUGUUUGGGAAUGCAGCUCAAAGUGGGUGGUAAAUUCCAUCUAAAGCUAAAUAUUGGCGAGAGACCGAUAGCGAACAAGUACAGUGAUGGAAAGAUGAAAAGAACUUUGAAAAGAGAGUGAAAAAGUACGUGAAAUUGUUGAAAGGGAAGGGCAUUUGAUCAGACAUGGUGUUUUUUGCAUGCACUCGCCUCUCGUGGGCUUGGGCCUCUCAAAAAUUUCACUGGGCCAACAUCAAUUCUGGCAGCAGGAUAAAUCAUUAAGAAUGUAGCUACUUCGGUAGUGUUAUAGCUUUUUGGAAUACUGUUAGCCGGGAUUGAGGACUGCGCUUCGGCAAGGAUGUUGGCAUAAUGGUUAAAUGCCGCCCGUCUUGAACACGGACCAAAA